UAUUUUUGCUUUAGGUUUAAGGUAUCAUAUUAUGCUGAAGCAGCACUCUAUGUAAUGUUUUAAUAAAUAACAUACUGCAGCAUAUUGCUUUAAUUUCUAGUAUAUAUACCAUAGGUAUCAAAGAUGAUAUUUCACUGCAUUCCAAAAAAAAUCAUAGAAACAUAAAAAUAAUAUAAAAUUGUUUCUAAGUGUAAAAAAAAUUGAUUUUACCUCUGCACAAUAAAUGUAGCUAAUGCUAUCUUUUAUCAAAAAUUAUUUUUCUUUCUUUCUCUAAAUUCUUUGGCUAGCUAUUAUUUAUCCAUAUUCUGGCAGUAUUUUCAGUAAGAAUAAAACAUAAUUCCCUACGCCUUUCAUACCUACAAGUAACAACAAUCUUUCACAUCAUAUUUUGUUCUCUCUCUCUCUCUAUCUCUAUCACUCACACCACAUUUAUAAAAUUUGGGACUUUUUAUUAUAUCCAUAACAUUCACUUUCCAUUCCUAAGAACAUGCACCUUUAUAUAUGAUUUUGUUCUUUACAA
rnacentral:lncRNA from 1 species